AGUGAACGCUGGCGGCAGGCCUAAUACAUGCAAGUCGAACGGCAGCACAGCAGAGCUUGCUCUGUGGGUGGCGAGUGGCGGACGGGUGAGGAAUACAUGGGAAUCUGCCCAGUCGUGGGGGAUAACGUAUGGAAACGUACGCUAAUACCGCAUGCGCCCUACGGGGGAAAGCCGGGGACCGAAAGGCCUGGCGCGAUUGGAUGAGCCCAUGUUCGAUUAGCUAGUUGGCGGGGUAAAGGCCCACCAAGGCGACGAUCGAUAGCUGGUCUGAGAGGAUGAUCAGCCACACUGGAACUGAGACACGGUCCAGACUCCUACGGGAGGCAGCAGUAGGGAAUAUUGGACAAUGGGGGCAACCCUGAUCCAGCCAUGCCGCGUGAGUGAAGAAGGCCCUCGGGUUGUAAAGCUCUUUUGUCCGGAAAGAAAAGCAUUCGGUUAAUACCCGGGUGUUCUGACGGUACCGGAAGAAUAAGCACCGGCUAACUUCGUGCCAGCAGCC
rnacentral:rRNA from 1 species